GGGAGGGGACGUGGGCGCACCGCUUGGGUUGCGACCUGAGGCCGUGGGGACAGGUCAG
rfam:Cavia porcellus strain inbred line 2N cont2.39092, whole genome shotgun sequence.